AUUCUAAGUGAGGCUUCCUAACAUCUUACAAGCUUAGGAUUAACAUCGGCCCAUUUUUUGGAGGAGAACCAACAAGACUGGCUAUUUGACUGGUUGCCCCAAUUGGUUUACUCCAAGGAAUAUAUUUAAUACUGUUCAAAAGAAGAGAAGGAAAGAAAAGCAAAAAGAACAGAGGAAAAGAAACCCAGAGGCAAGGAAGAAAAAAGUCCUAUACAAAAAGACUCUACCAUGAAGAAGAUUGACGGUCACAAGGAAAAUGUGAGGAAACAAAAAUAGAGAAAUGAAGCAAUUUGUCCAAGAUCAUUCUGAUAGCAAGCAACAGAACCAGGAGUGUAACCCAGCAUAAUCAUGGAGUCGGGAAGAGAUGAACACAAUCUGCUCUGGUAAGCUGAUAGGAGCCAGCGCCACACAGCACUAAACACUACAACUGACCAGACAAGGAUGACUAAGGACAGAAGAGAUUUGAAGGCAGCUAAACCCUCACUGCAUGAACCAUGGUCAGAGAGAUACUGUUUGAAAAGGAGCAAGCAUUGGAAGCGCCACAUUUGGGGUGGGCAGUGGAAAGCAUGCCACACAGAAGGAGUCCUAAGACCUACCUUCAAAAUCCUUAUAUUGUAAAAAAUUAGACCGAUCUUCCUAGUUCUAAGAUUGUAUGAUUACCAAAUUUAUCUACCUAUCUACUAAUCAGCAGGGUACAAGGAAUUCAAAGACGAAAAGCUCUUCUAUUAACAAAUUCUUUUGUC